rnacentral:lncRNA from 1 species
CUCCAGUACGCUCUUUUUGAAAUCAUUAAGUGUUUCUUGCAGUCGGUUCUCAAUUCUGAUUUCCAAUGCUUCCAUUUGUGCUUUCACCGAGUUAUCAGUGGCCAUUGCGUAAGACUGCAAAUCUGUAAUCUCAACUCCUAUUUUUGGUAUCGGUCAAGGGCAUCAACACUAUCGAUGCGAAGUUGCCAAGGAGGUGGACGCCAAGGGCAGUGCUGCGGUCGCUGCGUUAGAGGAAGAGUAGCUACCCUGUGUUUGUGUCACUGCGUGAGAUGAGAGCACCAAGGCUGAAAGGCGACGGUUGCGACUGUUGUGACCCAAGGAAGCAAUCACCGAGCAACCGGGUUGAGGCUGCGGUGAUAGCAACCGACAACUGCAGCAGCGGAGGCAGAACAAGAGGGAGGUGGCGUUGAAGCGACCGGGGUUGAGGCUGCAGUGGUGGCAACCGGUGGCUGCGGCAACGAUGCAGAGCAAGGGGACUGCAGCAAUGGUGCAGAUCGAGGGGGUUGAGGUGAAGGCUGCGGUGGCUGGCAGCAGCAGUCGUUGCUGGCUAGAGCGC